rnacentral:rRNA from 1 species
GACAAAACGCUGGCGGCGUGUAUUAGGCAUGCAAGUCGCACGGACACUUCGGUGUCAGUGGCGGACGGGUGAGUAACACGUGGGUAACCUGCCCCGGAGUGGGGAAUAACUCGCCGAAAGGCGAGCUAAUACCGCAUACCACUCCCGGUGAGAAACCGGGUAGUAAAAGUAGUGAUGCGCUCUGGGAGGGGCCCGCGGCCGAUUAGCUUGUUGGUGGGGUAACGGCCUACCAAGGCGACGAUCGGUAGCNGGUCUGAGAGGAUGGUCAGCCACACGGGGACUGAGAUACGGCCCCGACUCCUACGGGAGGCAGCAGCUAAGAAUCUUGCGCAAUGGGCGAAAGCCUGACGCAGCAACGCCGCGUGGGGACGAAGGCCCUCGGGUCGUAAACCCCUUUGCGAGGGAAGAAGUUCUGACGGUACCUCGCGAAUAAGCCACGGCUAACUACGU